GAUGAACGCUGGCGGCGUGCCUAAUACAUGCAAGUCGUGCGAACGGACGAGAAGCUUGCUUCUCUGAUGUUAGCGGCGGACGGGUGAGUAACACGUGGAUAACCUACCUAUAAGACUGGGAUAACUUCGGGAAACCGGAGCUAAUACCGGAUAAUAUUUUGAACCGCAUGGUUCAAAAGUGAAAGACGGUCUUGCUGUCACUUAUAGAUGGAUCCGCGCUGCAUUAGCUAGUUGGUAAGGUAACGGCUUACCAAGGCAACGAUGCAUAGCCGACCUGAGAGGGUGAUCGGCCACACUGGAACUGAGACACGGUCCAGACUCCUACGGGAGGCAGCAGUAGGGAAUCUUCCGCAAUGGGCGAAAGCCUGACGGAGCAACGCCGCGUGAGUGAUGAAGGUCUUCGGAUCGUAAAACUCUGUUAUUAGGGAAGAACAUAUGUGUAAGUAACUGUGCACAUCUUGACGGUACCUAAUCAGAAAGCCACGGCUAACUACGUGCCAGCAGCCGCGGUAAUACGUAGGUGGCAAGCGUUAUCCGGAAUUAUUGGGCGUAAAGCGCGCGUAGGCGGUUUUUUAAGUCUGAUGUGAAAGCCCACGGCUCAACCGUGGAGGGUCAUUGGAAACUGGAAAACUUGAGUGCAGAAGAGGAAAGUGGAAUUCCAUGUGUAGCGGUGAAAUGCGCAGAGAUAUGGAGGAACACCAGUGGCGAAGGCGACUUUCUGGUCUGUAACUGACGCUGAUGUGCGAAAGCGUGGGGAUCAAACAGGAUUAGAUACCCUGGUAGUCCACGCCGUAAACGAUGAGUGCUAAGUGUUAGGGGGUUUCCGCCCCUUAGUGCUGCAGCUAACGCAUUAAGCACUCCGCCUGGGGAGUACGACCGCAAGGUUGAAACUCAAAGGAAUUGACGGGGACCCGCACAAGCGGUGGAGCAUGUGGUUUAAUUCGAAGCAACGCGAAGAACCUUACCAAAUCUUGACAUCCUUUGACAACUCUAGAGAUAGAGCUUUCCCCUUCGGGGGACAAAGUGACAGGUGGUGCAUGGUUGUCGUCAGCUCGUGUCGUGAGAUGUUGGGUUAAGUCCCGCAACGAGCGCAACCCUUAAGCUUAGUUGCCAUCAUUAAGUUGGGCACUCUAAGUUGACUGCCGGUGACAAACCGGAGGAAGGUGGGGAUGACGUCAAAUCAUCAUGCCCCUUAUGAUUUGGGCUACACACGUGCUACAAUGGACAAUACAAAGGGCAGCGAAACCGCGAGGUCAAGCAAAUCCCAUAAAGUUGUUCUCAGUUCGGAUUGUAGUCUGCAACUCGACUACAUGAAGCUGGAAUCGCUAGUAAUCGUAGAUCAGCAUGCUACGGUGAAUACGUUCCCGGGUCU
rnacentral:rRNA from 1 species